rnacentral:rRNA from 1 species
UACAGAGGUCCCAAGCGUUGUUCGGAUUCACUGGGCGUAAAGGGUGCGUAGGCGGUGAGGUAAGUCGGAUGUGAAAUCUCCGAGCUCAACUCGGAAAUGGCAUUGGAAACUACCUCGCUAGAGAGUUGGAGGGGGGACUGGAAUACUUGGUGUAGCAGUGAAAUGCGUAGAUAUCGGAAGGAACACCAGUGGCGAAAGCGGCUUCCUGGUCCAGCACCGACGUUCAGGCACGAAAGCGUGGGGAGCAAACAGG